rnacentral:ncRNA from 2 species
GGCGCCGAAAGGCCUCCGGGCGAUCCGACCGCGAUGAACGCGGACGCCGGGAGAGGGAAGCCGGCUUGAAUCCGGCGCGCCCCCAGGCACUGUGAAGGACGAGGUCGAAGCGAUCCUCCUCAUAACCGCGUUCAGGCGGCGUGGGGGGCGAUACCACUGGAACACGAUUCCGGGAAGGGCGCAGCGGCCGCAACGGAAAUUUUACUGGAAAUCCCUUCAGGAUUUUUAAUAAAACCUGUUCCGUAUAGUCCCCAGCCAGGAAACCUGCCCCGUCCCGGACCCCUGG